rnacentral:rRNA from 1 species
AAUGCAGUCGAGCGGAUUGAUGGGAGCUUGCUCCCUGAUAUCAGCGGCGGACGGGUGAGUAACACGUGGGUAACCUGCCUGUAAGACUGGGAUAACUCCGGGAAACCGGGGCUAAUACCGGAUAACUCAUUUCCUCGCAUGAGGAAAUGUUGAAAGGUGGCUUUUAGCUACCACUUACAGAUGGACCCGCGGCGCAUUAGCUAGUUGGUGAGGUAACGGCUCACCAAGGCGACGAUGCGUAGCCGACCUGAGAGGGUGAUCGGCCACACUGGGACUGAGACACGGCCCAGACUCCUACGGGAGGCAGCAGUAGGGAAUCUUCCGCAAUGGACGAAAGUCUGACGGAGCAACGCCGCGUGAGUGAUGAAGGUUUUCGGAUCGUAAAGCUCUGUUGUUAGGGAAGAACAAGUGCCGUUCGAAUAGGGCGGCACCUUGACGGUACCUAACCAGAAAGCCACGGCUAACUACGUGCCAGCAGCCGCGGUAAUACGUAGGUGGCAAGCGUUGUCCGGAAUUAUUGGGCGUAAAGCGCGCGCAGGUGGUUUCUUAAGUCUGAUGUGAAAGCCCACGGCUCAACCGUGGAGGGUCAUUGGAAACUGGGGAACUUGAGUGCAGAAGAGGAAAGUGGAAUUCCAAGUGUAGCGGUGAAAUGCGUAGAUAUUUGGAGGAACACCAGUGGCGAAAGCGACUUUCUGGUCUGUAACUGACACUGACGCGCGAAAGCGUGGGGAGCAAACACGAUUAGAUACCCUGGUAGUCCACGCCGUAACGAUGAGUGCUAAGUGUUAGGGG